rnacentral:lncRNA from 1 species
AUUCUUUACAUUUUCUUUACUCUUGCUAACUCUAGCAUUCUUGUUCUUAUUGCCCACUUUACUUUAACUUUACACGUUGUCAUUUUCAUCAUUCUUUACAUCACUUUAGUUCUUUACAUCACACUAACUCUAGUGUCAUUUCACAUUAGCUUUAUCGAAUGCCACUCGAUCUAUGUCAUUGUGUCACUCUGUUCUUUUGCUCACUUUGGGUGCUCACUUUCUCUCAUGCAUACACAUAGGAUUUUCGACAUCACAU